AUAUCACUCAAAACCUGUUUGUUGCCCUGUGAAAAAUGUCUGAAACCCGGUGUUAUCUGAGCAUCAGCUACUUCUGCAGAGUUUCUGGAUCCAGCAAAAGAUGAAUCAACUGACUGAAAAAUGGGCAGGUUACCUGCAGUUUCAGGAUGGCUUUGGGUCACCAAAGUAAGACUUGUAUCUGUUGCAGAAGUGGAUUUGACAUCUUGUAGAACUUAUAGAACUUCUGACCUGCAUGUUAUGAGGAAUGGAAAGAGUCACAGAUAAAAGAUAUAAAUGUCACUUGAGAUGCUGGUUAAAGUUGCACCUUUGUCCUACUCUUCAACUCAAUCCCUGCUGACAAGAUAGGUUUCACUGACCUCUGGUGUCUGUACACAUUUUUUCUCUACUAUGUAACCCAUUCUGGUU